UGUAAUAAAGCUGCUCUUAUUUCGUGCACUAGUGUGUUUUUAUAAUGGCGUUAUUGUUUGCACGUGUGCGCGUGAGCUUUGUUCGUUAGUGUUCGCCUCGUGCCCUUGUUGCAGCCCAGGCCAGUGGAGGUUAUGCAAUGGCGAAUCUCCGUCAGCACUGCUCCUGUUGCUGGGCUCUCUAGAUUCUGCUGCGGAUCGACAUGGUUCUUUUCAAACCAGUGGCGGGAACAGUCCUCUGCUGCUCUUUUUUCCUCCCUCCCUCUCCUCUCCAUUUAUUACCAGUGAUGACUGUCCGAGGGGGCGGGGCCCUGUCCGCCUGCAGCAGGAACCAGAACAGGAAGCGUGUUCUGGCCGCGGUUCUGGCCGCGGUAACUGCUGCUGAGGGAUAGCUUUACACGAGCAAUAAACUGCGCCUGGACAGACCAUACCGAAUGAAUCCAGUCCACACAGACUGAUGACUGCAGCAUAUUAAUCAGACAUCCACUGAUCCACUGUGCCCCACGUGAAACCCAGUGGAAACGCCCACUUUGCAUUAUGCAGCUGCAGCAGGCGACUCAGAGCCCAAAAGGAGGUCUCUCAGGUUGAAAGAUAGACCCGAACCUCCUAAGGCAGAGCCUAAAGCCAAGCCAAAGAAGGCAGCUGGUAAGCCUAAGAAAGCCAAGGAUGUAGAGAAGGCCAAGCCCGAAGAGAAAGCACCUGAGGCACCUGCAGAGAACGGAGAAGCCAAAGCUGAAGAUGAGGCACCAGCUGCAGACGCUGAACAGAAAGAUGAUGCUGAUGAAUAACAUCACUCAAACCACAUCUUUUAACAGUGCUCCCUGUACCUCUUUUCUUGUACAAUUCAGGGGAAUAUUUUUAUCAACUAUUUUCUAAAUACAGGUUUUUUAGUAGUUGGAUUAUAGAGAACACUUUUUUUUAAUGAAAGAAAAAAGUCAAUUUGGAGACGGGAAUUUCAUCAACUCCCACAGUUUUUCAACAUCAUAAAACUUGCAGUUCUCGUUACUAGCAGUGGUUUUCAUUUCAGUUUUAAAUGUGAAGGAGGGGAGGGAGGGGACAGGUUACCGUGUCAAUGCAACACAUCGGUCACAGGAGCUGGGCAUCAGCGGAGAGAGCCUGAGAGGACUACAUUCCAUAUGCUUUAUAAGGGACUGUGCGUAAUCUGUUUUGGGGAGGGGAUGGACAAAGGGCAAGUCAUUGUUUUGUUGUUUAUAAUGAAGAAACAGUGUUUUAGAAUGUUUGUAAGCUUUGUUCCUCUGUGUUAACUCUUGUACUCAUGCAGUUUCUUAAUGAUUUGGUCAAUAAAGCUAAAAUACUAGUGCUGGAGCUCUUUGUCAGAACUGUGCAUCAAGUGUGUGGAUUGUGUGUCUGUUCUGUGAUAGCAUCGCAAUAAAUCUGUAUAGCUGCUGUG
ensembl:lncRNA